AUUGAACGCUGGCGGCAGGCCUAACACAUGCAAGUCGAGCGGAUGAAGGGAGCUUGCUCCUGGAUUUAGGGGCGGACGGGUGAGUAAUGGCUAGGAAACUGCCUGGUAGUGGGGGAUAACGUCCGGAAACGGGCGCUAAUACCGCAUACGUCCUGAGGGAGAAAGUGGGGGUUCUUCGGACCUCACGCUAUCAGAUGAGCCUAGGUCGGAAUAGCUAGUUGGCGGGGUAAAGGCCUACCACGGCGACGGACCGUAACUGGUGUGAGGGGGUGACCAGUCACAUCGGCACUGGGACUCGGUCCAGGCCCCUACGGGAGGGAGCAGUGGGGGAGAUUGGACAAUGGGCGAAAGCCUGAUCCAGACAUACCGCGUGUGGGAAGGAGGUCUUCGGAUUGGUAAGCACUUUAAGUUGGGAGGAAGGGCAGUAAGUUAAUACCUUGCUGUUUUGACGUUACCAACAGAAUAAGCACCGGCUAACUUCGUG
rnacentral:rRNA from 1 species